rnacentral:rRNA from 1 species
CAGUAGCCACGGGAAUACUGAGGGGGCUAGCGUUGUUCGGAAUUACUGGGCGUAAAGCGCACGUAGGCGGCUUGGUAAGUUAGAGGUGAAAGCCCGGAGCUCAACUCCGGAAUUGCCUUUAAGACUGCCGAGCUAGUAGGUGAGAGAGGUAAGUGGAAUUCCGAGUGUAGAGGUGAAAUUCGUAGAUAUUCGGAAGAACACCAGUGGCGAAGGCGGCUUACUGGCUCAUUCUAGACGCUGAGGUGCGAAAGCGUGGGGAGCAAACAGGAUUAGAUACCCGAGUAGUCCCUGUCUCUUAUAC